GUUGCUUUCGAAGAUGAAUUUCGGGCAGGUGAAGAAAUUAAGAAGCUUCGCAUAACCCCCAAAUCUCAGCUCAGAUUGAAACGAAAAUCCACAAGGUAUCAAGAUCUGCAAAUUGAAGAAUCAAAACGCACUAAUAAUUAAGAAGAAACAUACAAGAUGAGCCGUCAAAGCCCAAAACACAUGAGAGACAAAAGCUUCUUCCUUUCAAACACAAACCCACGAGAGAGAGAGAGAGAGAAGUAAGGGGAGAGGGG